rnacentral:tRNA from 3 species
AGGGCUAUAGCUCAGUUGGUAGAGCACCUCGUUUACACACGGUUCGAGUCCGUAUAGCCCUA